rnacentral:rRNA from 1 species
GGAAUAUUGGGCAAUGGAGGCAACUCUGACCCAGCGACGCCGCGUGCGGGAUGAAGGCCUUCGGGUUGUAAACCGCUUUCAGUAGGGAAGAAGCGAAAGUGACGGUACCUACAAAGGAAGCACCGGCUAACUAUGUGCCAGCAGCCGCGGUAAUACAUAGGGUGCAAGCGUUGUCCGGAAUUAUUGGGCGUAAAGAGCUCGUAGGUCGUUUGUUACGUCGGAUGUGAAAACCUGAGGCUCAACCUCAGGCCUGCAUUCGAUACGGGCAAACUAGAGUUUGGUAGGGGAGACUGGAAUUCCUGGUGUAGCGGUGAAAUGCGCAGAUAUCAGGAGGAACACCAAUGGCGAAGGCAGGUCUCUGGGCCAAUACUGACACUGAGGAGCGAAAGUCUGGGGAGCGAACAGGAUUAGAUACCCUGGUAGUCCAGACCGUAAACGGUGGGCACUAGUUGUGGGAACCUUCCACGGUUUCUGCGACGCAGCUAACGCAUUAAGUGCCCCGCCUGGGGAGUACGAUCGCAAGAUUAAAACUCAAAGGAAUUGACGGA